rnacentral:rRNA from 1 species
UACGUAGGGGGCAAGCGUUGUCCGGAAUCAUUGGGCGUAAAGAGCGUGUAGGCGGCUUGGUAAGUCCGCUGUGAAAGUCCAGGGCUCAACCCUGGAAAGCCGGUGGAAACUGUCAAGCUUGAGUCCGGAAGAGGCGAGUGGAAUUCCCGGUGUAGUGGUGAAAUGCGUAGAUAUCGGGAGGAACACCAGUGGCGAAGGCGGCAUCCUGGCCAUGUCCUGACGCUCAGGGGCGAAAGCGUGGGGAGCAAAGCCGG